AGGAGGAACAGCCCCAGUGGCGGGGCCAGCUCUGCAGCCCUGGAAUUAGCUCCCGCAGGAACUACGGAGCUCUCUGUCUGCAGGGCCUGGAGGCUCCGGGGCGGG
rnacentral:pre_miRNA from 1 species